AGCCCCGUGGUGUAGCGGUCAAGCAUCCGAGAUUUUGGGUCUCGGGACCUCGGUUCGAGUCCGGGCGGGGCUA
rnacentral:tRNA from 1 species